rnacentral:rRNA from 1 species
UACAGAGGCGGCAAGCGUUGUUCGGAAUUAUUGGGCGUAAAGAGCACGUAGGCGGCUGUGUAAGUCGGUUGUGAAAGCCUUCCGCUCAACGGAAGAACGGCAUCCGAUACUGCAUGGCUUGAGUGUGGGAGGGGAGAGUGGAACUUCUGGUGGAGCGGUGAAAUGCGUAGAUAUCGGAAGGAACAUCAGUGGCGAAAGCGACUUCCUGGUCCAGCACUGACGCUCAGGCACGAAAGCGUGGGGAGCAAAC